AUUGGACACAGGAAAUCAAUAGGUAAAACCUGGAUUGGCCUGAAUCCUCUGACUUGUCAGUGCUGGCCUUGGACAAGAUGGCAUCUCAUCUCCAAAGACUUCCCAAACUUGGCACCAUGAACCAGGUGCUGAAGUCCUAAGCAGCAAGUGAAUAAUUAUAAUCUGAGAGAAUUAAGAUUUUGACACCUGAAAUAAAAUAUUUUAAAGGACUGGAGAAAUUAAUAAGAGCUAAAAGGAGGAGCUUUGCAAAGACCAAGGCAAUAAGCACUUUUCCAUUAAAUAAAAUUCAUUGAAAAAAUCUUUGUCUGCCAUGCAAGACUUCUUGAAUAUCUUUAGGAAGAUGGGC
ensembl:lncRNA